rnacentral:rRNA from 1 species
AGAGUUUGAUCCUAGCUCAGAAUGAACGCUGGCGGCAGGNCUNACACAUGCAAGUCGAACGGAGUUAUAUUGUAGCUUGCUAUGGUAUAACUUAGUGGCAGACGGGUGAGUAAUGUAUAGGAAUCUACCUAGUAGUACGGAAUAAUUGUUGGAAACGGCAACUAAUACCGUAUACGCCCUACGGGGGGAAAAAUUUAUUGCUAUUAGAUGAGCCUAUAUUAGAUUAGCUAGUUGGUGGAGUAAUAGCCUACCAAGGCAAUGAUCUAUAGCUGNNNUGAGAGNNUGANCNGCCACANUGGNACUGAGANACGGUCCAGACUCCUACGGGAGGCAGCAGUGGGGAAUAUUGGACAAUGGGCGAAAGCCUGAUCCAGCCAUGCCGCAUGAGUGAAGAAGGCCUUUGGGUUGUAAAGCUCUUUUAGUGAGGAAGAUAAUGACGGUACUCACAGAAGAAGUCCUGGCUAACUNCGUGCCCAGCAGCCGCGGUAAUACGUNAGAGGGCUAGCGUUGUCGGAAUCACUGGGCGUAAAGGGCGCGUAGGCGGAUUAGUAAGUUAAAAGUGAAAUCCCAAGGCUCAACCUUGGAAUUGCUUUUAAAACUGCUAAUCUAGAGAUUGAAAGAGGAUAGAGGAAUUCCUAGUGUAGAGGUGAAAUUCGUAAAUGUUAGGAGGAACACCAGUGGCGAAGGCGUCUAUCUGGUUCAAAUCUGACGCUGAGGCGCGAAGGCGUGGGGAGCAAACAGGAUUAGAUACCCUGGUAGUCCACGCUGUAAACGAUGAAUGUUAAAUAUGGGAAGUUUUACUUUCUGUAUUACAGCUAACGCGUUAAACAUUCCGCCUGGGGACUACGGUCGCAAGAUUAAAACUCAAAGGAAUUGACGGGGUACGUGGAGGUCGCUAGAUG